ensembl:lncRNA
AUGCCCAAGCGUCUGGGCAGAGGACAGCCUGGUGAAAGACGGGGGACUCCCUGGAUGCCCAGAGCGGAAAGCCGUCGUGCCCCAGGGACUUUUUUGGCUGGUGACUCAUCCGUAACUGCAAGUUUCCGCUUCGGGUGGCACAGAAGAUGUUGGCAAUUUGUUGGAGAAUCAUUUCUCUGCUGGAGACGCAAGUAUAGAGGAGAAGGAAAGGGCGCUUCAGGCAGAGGCGGCCCCGCGAGAGACGAACCAGCUCCNNNNNNNNNNNNNNNNNNNNNNNNNNNNNNNNNNNNNNNNNNNNNNNNNNNNNNCCGGGGAACCCGGCGGGGGGUGGGGGGGAAGAUGCGGGCCCGCCAGGAGCAGGCGCCCUCCCUCCAGGAGGGGAGGAGGAGCCGGGGGAGGAAGGAAGGCCGGAGCUCAGCUCCGGAGAGGGCUCAGGACAGGAGGCAGAAAAACAGGCUGGGAGCGGCGAGGUCCCCGAGGACGCCCUAGAGGACCGCCCCGCAGAGGGGGCAGCAGCAGGGACCCCAGAGCCUGAAGACGCAGGGGCAUCUCCCAGCACGGAGAUGGAGAGCGGAGGGGAGGGCAGCCCAGGGCCGGAUCAGGAGCCAGAAGUGCCAGAUGGACCCGCGGACGCGGACGCAGAAGCUGGGGACCGGGGGAAGGACCCAGGGGAGCCCAGCCCCAGCCCGGCCUCAGACGUGGGCGCGGAUGUGGGGGGCGCCCAGGAGGNNNNNNNNNNNNNNNNNNNNNNNNNNNNNNNNNNNNNNNNNNNNNNNNNNNNNNNNNNNNNNNNNNNNNNNNNGCCCCCGCGGGCCCUUCUGCGGCUGCAGUCUUCCCGGGAGUCUUGCGUGUAGGGGGACAGGACCCGACCCGCAGGGCGGGGGGAGCCCCAGCCACCCCGGGCUGCUCAUGAGCCACUUACACCAGUUUGGAGGGACCCCCCGAGAGGCCGUGCCCUGGAGGGGGGCUUCUGAGGGCGCCAGAAACCUAUCCAUUAGGGUCCCUUAAUGCAUGUUCGCAGGGACCAGUGCCUUAACCCAAAGGACGAGGGACAUAGCGGCAGGAUUGACCCGCAGGGCGGGGGGAGCCCCAGCCACCCCGGGCUGCUCAUGAGCCACUUACACCAGUUUGGAGGGACCCCCCGAGAGGCCGUGCCCUGGAGGGGGGCUUCUGAGGGCGCCAGAAACCUAUCCAUUAGGGUCCCUUAAUGCAUGUUCGCAGGGACCAGUGCCUUAACCCAAAGGACGAGGGACAUAGCGGCAGGAUUUGAGGCCCAAGGCAGCUUGAGGGAAGGGUGGGUAGUCUGGUGCGGACUGGGGGAACCACGUUGGUGGGCUAGCACUUGGGGUCUCCUCUAGAAGACUAGGCCAGGUCAGGAAGGAUGAACUGGGACCAGGGUCAGGAUUGCAAUAAGAAACCUCAGGCUGGCUGGACACUAAUGUCCCUCAAAUGUCCAUCUGGAGCUGCCCGGCUCUCAGGGCUGGGGGACAGGGAGGGAGAGGAGGCAGGCCAGAGGUACUGGGCGGCAUUGGAGGUAUGUGGCACCCUUGGGAUGGUCAGCGCCUGCCGUGACCUCAUCCACCCAAUCCGCUGGCCUGGACCAAGAGCUGGCUUGUAGGAUGAAGGCUCUGGGGUCAGUGUUCACUUUCCAGCAGGUUUCCUUGCAGAACAUAAUGUCCCCGCUAAGUACCCGCUUGUCCCCUCCGGAGGGGAGGGGCUUCAGGCAGCAAGCCCUGCCCCUUUUCUUGUCCUUUUGGGUCUGAUCUCACAAAGACUCACCCCCAAGGUGCCACCCACUCAAGCCCACCGAUUUUCUCUGCUUCCCACCCCUGGUAGAACAGAUCUCCCAAGUCCAUGCCCCCCCAUCACCCGAAAUCCUUUGUGCAAUCAGCCCAGGUAGAAACGGCUCAGAUAUUAGAGGCUCGAGAAUGUGAGCAACCCUCCCUGGGAGCCUCAGGUGGUCACGGGCAUCUCCUGCUGAGUCAGAAGCAGCAGUGCCCCCCCCACCGCACCCCCAGAAUCUCAAUAGCAGCUCUUCCUGAUAAAACGCUCCCUUGACUGGGCCAGAGAUUUCUUAGAACCCGAAAUGCAGAUUCCUAUAAACCGUUCCUGUCUCCUGUCCUGGACCGCAGCUCAGGGUGGCCCCUGGGAAGUUUUCUGACUCCCCUGCUGAGACUUUCUCCUGCCAAGACCUCGUAGGCACACUUCUCAGGCCCUUCAAGCUUCUGAAAUCUUUCCUUCCGUGGCCAAUCGCUGUUGUAAUUACAUGACUUUUUAGGUUCUUGCUCCCCCUCUCUCCACCCAACUAGAAAACUCCCAGGGCCGCACUGGGCUGGUUUGGGGCACCGCGGUACUCCGCGCAAGGUUCUCUGUUUGGCGUGUAUAGUAGGUGCUCAGUCCACAUGUGUCCAAUACCUAAAAUGGGUCGUGGAGCCUAACAGAAGUAGAGCUUGGAUUUGCAAAGUCCCUCCUAGAGACAGAGCUCCGGGCAGUGGGGCCCGGCAAGCCUUCAUUCAUUCAUUCAGCAUUUUUUCUUACUAUCAUUUCACUUUUGCCCGCCCCCCCCCCCCCCGCGCGCCCCACUGGAGGGAGCCUGGAGCUGGCUCCUAGCUCUGCGCUAACCCUG